CUCGACCACUUCACACUUCGCCUC
rnacentral:siRNA from 1 species